GGGCUCGUAGUUUAGUGGCUAUAACAUCCCGUUGACGUCGGGAAGGUCUCCGGUUCAAGUCCGGACGGGCCCA
rnacentral:tRNA from 1 species